rnacentral:rRNA from 1 species
CUACGGGCCGCUCCAGUGAGGAAUAUUGCACAAUGGGGGGAACCCUGAUGCAGCAACGCCGCGUGGAGGAUGACGCAUUUCGGUGUGUAAACUCCUUUUAUAUGUCAAGAAAAUGACGGUAGCAUAUGAAUAAGCACCGGCUAACUCCGUGCCAGCAGCCGCGGUAAUACGGAGGGUGCAAGCGUUACUCGGAAUCACUGGGCGUAAAGGACGCGUAGGCGGGUUGGAAAGUCAGGUGUGAAAUCCUACAGCUUAACUGUAGAACUGCACUUGAAACUGCUAAUCUAGAGUAUGGGAGGGGGAGAUGGAAUUAGUGGUGUAGGGGUAAAAUCCGUAGAUAUCACUAGGAAUACCUAAAGCGAAGGCGAUCUCCUGGAACAUUACCGACGCUAAGGCGUGAAAGCGUGGGGAGCAAACAGGAUUAGAUACCCCGGUAGUC